rnacentral:rRNA from 1 species
UAGGGAAUCUUCCGCAAUGGGCGAAAGCCUGACGGAGCAACGCCGCGUGAGUGAUGAAGGUCUUCGGAUCGUAAAACUCUGUUAUUAGGGAAGAACAAAUGUGUAAGUAACUAUGCACGUCUUGACGGUACCUAAUCAGAAAGCCACGGCUAACUACGUGCCAGCAGCCGCGGUAAUACGUAGGUGGCAAGCGUUAUCCGGAAUUAUUGGGCGUAAAGCGCGCGUAGGCGGUUUUUUAAGUCUGAUGUGAAAGCCCACGGCUCAACCGUGGAGGGUCAUUGGAAACUGGAAAACUUGAGUGCAGAAGAGGAAAGUGGAAUUCCAUGUGUAGCGGUGAAAUGCGCAGAGAUAUGGAGGAACACCAGUGGCGAAGGCGACUUUCUGGUCUGUAACUGACGCUGAUGUGCGAAAGCGUGGGGAUCAA